rnacentral:lncRNA from 1 species
CCCCAUGAAAGACAGCAGUAAUUAGAAAGAGAGAAAUCUUACAGGCAAAGGCUAUUCGACAUUUGGGAUUCCUAAGCUAAUCUUUUUAUUUUUGGAAGGGUGUCUUUCUGAGAAAGGCAGCCAGAGGCACAGCACCAACCUUUCUGACAGUGUGGUCUUCACACUGUUAGUUCUGACAAAGGGAGUCAAGGAGUCGUCCUUGGAGGAGGCGAUGAGGCCAGUGGAAGAAUUGUGGCUGGGGACCCCUCCACUGCUGAGGGAGAUGUCGAUGGACUCACAGCUGGUGUGGAGGCUGCUGAUAGACUGAAAGCCCAGGCCAUCCUUGCUAACUGCGGAGGAGCUGCUGGCGUUGGUGCCCCAGUACCUCUAAUAGCCCGCCUCCUGAAUAUGUAGAUGCAGGU